rnacentral:lncRNA from 1 species
CGGCAGCGAUGAUCAAACGCAGGCAGGAAGCGAGGCAGACCAGAUGAACAAGGUGUUUAUAAAUGAACUUUUCUAUACUGAUACAUGGCAGAUGAAACAACUUAAUUACAAAUUGAACAAUAGAGAAACAAUGUCUCACUCUUCGACUGUCUCAAUGACGGUUAGAGCCCAGACUACUUUUAAUGUACACAGCACG